rnacentral:rRNA from 1 species
UACGGAGGGUGCGAGCGUUGUCCGGAAUCACUGGGCGUAAAGGGCGCGUAGGCGGCCUGAUAAGUAGGGGGCGAAAUCCUGCGGCUUAACCGCAGGGCUGCCUUCUAAACUGUCAGGCUCGAGCACAGUAGAGGCAGGUGGAAUUCCCGGUGUAGCGGUGGAAUGCGUAGAGAUCGGGAAGAACAUCAGUGGCGAAGGCGGCCUGCUGGGCUGUUGCUGACGCUGAGGCGCGACAGCGUGGGGAGCAAACAGG